GUCCCAGACUCCUACGGGAGGCAGCAGUGGGGAAUAUUGCACAAUGGGGGAAACCCUGAUGCAGCGACGCCGCGUGAGCGAUGAAGUAUUUCGGUAUGUAAAGCUCUAUCAGCAGGGAAGAAGAUGACGGUACCUGACUAGGAAGCCCCGGCUAACUACGUGCCAGCAGCCGCGGUAAUACGUAGGGGGCAAGCGUUAUCCGGAUUUACUGGGUGUAAAGGGCGAGUAGGCGGGAUUGCAAGUCAGAUGUGAAAACUAUGGGCUCAACCGAUAGAGUGCAUUUGAAACUGCAGUUCUUGAGUGAUGGAGAGGCAGGCGGAAUUCCCGGUGUAGCGGUGGAAUGCGUAGAUAUCGGGAGGAACACCAGUGGCGAAGGCGGCUUACUGGACGGUAACUGACGUUGAGGCUCGAAAGCGUGGGGAGCAAACAGGAUUAGAUACCCGAGUACA
rnacentral:rRNA from 1 species